GCACCAAAGGCUCAGCUGACUAAAGCACCUACCUUAUAAACAGGAGAUCCUGGGUUCAACUCCCAGUGGUGCC
rnacentral:tRNA from 1 species